GCCGUGCGUGGGAUGGCCACUUCAGAUCUUGGCCUAGUGGACAACGACGACCAGAUCUACCGGCAGGGAGGAUCUCGGUUGCCUCCUCAGCGACCUCUCGUCAGCCACAACCAUAUCACUGGUUAGGAGUCAAAAAUGACUAGACGAAGGGAUAAAGCAAUUGAUUUGAAUGAGCCACCACGCAGCGAACAAAGAUGUGGUUGAGCGUGUACUCGUCUGCAACUUCAGUGACUCAUCGUUUGAUCAUCAUCUAUAGACUCGAGCAGACGCUUAAACCCAGC